AGGUCAUUUCAAAGAGGGAUUCAGGGACUAAAACCAAGAGCUCUUCACUCUGUGACCAAAUAUUGAAGUUUUCCAUUGGAUGUAAUCGUUACUCGACCAACAGGGCUGUGGUUUCCUGAGGAGAUGGAAGA
ensembl:snoRNA